AUUGAACGCUGGCGGCAUGCUUUACACAUGCAAGUCGAACGGUAACAGGCCUUCGGGUGCUGCCGAGUGGCGAACGGGGGAGUAAUGCAUCGGAACGUGCCCAGAGGUGGGGGAUAACGCAGCGAAAGCUGUGCUAAUACCGCAUGUGAUCUGAGGAUGAAAGCGGGGGACCAAGCAGCAAUGUUUGGCCUCGCGCCUCUGGAGCGGCCGAUGUCAGAUUAGGUAGUUGGUGGGGUAAAGGCCUACCAAGCCGACGAUCUGUAGCUGGUCUGAGAGGACGACCAGCCACACUGGGACUGAGACACGGCCCAGACUCCUACGGGAGGCAGCAGUGGGGAAUUUUGGACAAUGGGCGCAAGCCUGAUCCAGCAAUGCCGCGUGCGGGAAGAAGGCCUUCGGGUUGUAAACCGCUUUUGUACGGAACGAAAAGGCUCUGGCUAAUACCUGGGGCUGAUGACGGUACCGUAAGAAUAAGCACCGGCUAACUACGUG
rnacentral:rRNA from 1 species